rnacentral:lncRNA from 1 species
UAAACUUAUGAGAACAGCCAAAAACAGGCAACGGUGCAACAUUAUCAGGAUUAGACUAGUUAUUAGAAUCAUAAUAGAUUUUUAAAAAAAGAAGAGAAAGAGAGAAUGACAAUAAGAUUGGUUAAAAAAAAAAAGACCAUUAAAUCUUUCCAGCAUCAGCAUCCACUAUUGAAGAUUCUCCUUCCACCACCUUCAGCAAGCCACUAUAAGCUUCCAUCACCUUCAAGACAACUGUAAAACUAAAGGCAUCUUCUUUCCAACGCACUACAAGGAAUCCACUUUACAUCUGGCCAGUAUCUACACUCUUCUUCACCGACUCAAAGUAUUUUUCAUGUUCCUGUAUCUUGAAAUUUAAUAGGCUUUUUCAAAGGCAUACGUUUUCCUAAGGAUUUUACGUUUUUUCCUUAGGGAUAAAUUUCAUUUUCUAUUACAUAAGAUACCGGUCUUCUAUGAACGUUUCCUGAAGAGUAUGGCCUAUAUAGUAAAGGAGCCGUUUCAUGGAAAGGAGUUGCAGUUGUGUCUGUGGAGAACCCUUCGCCCUCUUCCACAAGAGUUAUUUCUAAGUUAUGGGGAAUUUCAUCUUUUAUUUCUAAAAUUUCUUCUGCGGCUUUUUCUAAGUUUUUAAUAUUGUCACGGUCUUUCCAAGUAAAUAAGGGCCUUUGCUUAUAAGUUUCAAGAUUACCAAAGUUUGUCCCUUUCUAUCCUCUCCUUUCUUUUUUGGUUUAUUUGUGCCAUCAAGGCGUGUUCUUCUUCGAAGGUUAAAUCAUCCUUAUCUUCUUCAUCAGUCUUAUUAUAACAAUUGCUUUCUAUGUUUUCCAAGUUAGUUCGGAAUCUAAAGGCACAUUAAAAGUUGUUUCGUUAGUAGGAAGAUUUAGAUCCCUUCUAGAUUCUAUAUCAUCCUCAGUACUUUCACUUUCUUGUGGCCGACUCUUAUAAUUACUGAAACUUAUAGAAUUUCGUCCCUGGGUUGAGUGAUAAUAUAUGGUAUCUGUAGGUAUUAGGAUGUUAUUUUGUCUGCAGAAUUUAUCAAGAUCCCAUUCUAAACCAGCGUAUUUUUUUAAUAAUUUCAUUCCUUCCCACUAAGUCACGUAUAUAUAUAUAUAGAGAGAGAGAGAGGAGCUAGAAUACUCUCAAAAGCACCAAGAGGGUGGUGCUUUUGAGUUUUUAACCAUUGGAUGGAGAGAUAUAGGGUUGAGAUGAUUGUGGUAGGUGGUGGUACGUGGUGGUAGGUGGAAUAGUGUUUGAUCCAAGGGUAUUAGUAAUUAAGGAGUAGAUCCAAGGGCUAGAAACUUAGAAGCACCAAUGGGUUGGUGCUUCUAAAAGUAUUCUAGCUCAAUU